rnacentral:rRNA from 1 species
AGUGAACGUUGGCGGCGUGGAUUAGGCAUGCAAGUCGAGCGAGAACCGUAGCAAUACGGGGACAGCGGCGAAAGGGACAGUAAUGUGUAGGUACCUACCUCCGGGUUCGGGAUAGCUACGGGAAACUGCAGGUAAUACCGAAUAACGUCUCCGGACCAAAGGUGUGAUUCCACCUGGAGAGGGGCCUGCAUCCUAUUAGCUUGUUGGCGGGGUAACGGCCCACCAAGGCGACGAUGGGUAGCGGGUGUGAGAGCACGACCCGCGUCAUUGUGACUGAGACACUGCCCAGACACGUACGUGUGGCUGCAGUCGUGAAUCUUCGGCGAUGGGCGCAAGCCUGACCGAGCGACGCCGCGUGCGGGAUGAAGGCCUUCGGGUUGUAAACCGCUGUCGUAGAGGAGGAAAUGCAGGGGGGUUCUCCCCUCUGUUUGACCUAUUCUAGGAGGAAGGACGGGCUAAGUUCGUGCCAGCAGCCGCCGUAA